AACGCGAAGAACCUUACCUACUCUUGACAUCCAGAGAACUUAGCAGAGAUGCUUUGGUGCCUUCGGGAACUCUGAGACAGGUGCUGCAUGGCUGUCGUCAGCUCGUGUUGUGAAAUGUUGGGUUAAGUCCCGCAACGAGCGCAACCCUUAUCCUUUGUUGCCAGCGGUUAGGCCGGGAACUCAAAGGAGACUGCCAGUGAUAAACUGGAGGAAGGUGGGGAUGACGUCAAGUCAUCAUGGCCCUUACGAGUAGGGCUACACACGUGCUACAAUGGCGCAUACAAAGAGAAGCGACCUCGCGAGAGCAAGCGGACCUCAUAAAGUGCGUCGUAGUCCGGAUUGGAGUCUGCAACUCGACUCCAUGAAGUCGGAAUCGCUAGUAAUCGUAGAUCAGAAUGCUACGGUGAAUACGUUCCCGGGCCUUGUACACACCG
rnacentral:rRNA from 1 species